UUUAAUGUCACAUAAUGGUAGCUAGCUAGCAAGCUAGCUUUUUUAUAAGGGUUAUUAGCUGCACCUUGUGCUGUUGUGCUCUUGUUUUUUAGUGUGGAAGAAUCUGUAAAGCUCAGGAGGGAUAGCGCCAUGGAUGGUCAUUCCUCACCUCUCUUUUUCUCUCUUUCUCCCCUUUGAUCUUCUCUUGCGCUAUCCAUCCUGAGUUUCAUGGCUUCUCUCCACACACAAUGGAACCUUCUUCUCCCUUUGCUUUUUCUUCUUCCACUUCUUCAUUCACCACCACCACCACACAAGGAUGACGAAGUCAGUGGAACAAUAUGAAGGUGUUCAAGUCUUUUGGGUCGUGUUAAAGUUUUCUCCUUUGAAAAUGGUUUUUUAAGUUUUAAAAGUUGACUAGUCAGAAUUUGGUAUAUGUUAAUGUCUAACACCAUCAUAUCAUAUGAGUCACACAAAUAUAAGUUCAAGUAAGUAACAAUAAACUCGCAAGAUCAAAUAUGAAUGGUUGCUUAGUUAUCUAAACAAACCUUUAACUAUUUUCUACCUUGCUUCACCUUUCUACCAUGAUAUAAAUGUAUGGAUUUGUUUGUUCUUCACCAUAAAAAGUAAAUAAGUCACGUAUAUGACCCAAUGAUCAAGCGUAAACCUUUUUGCCCUUAGUUUGUUGUUUUGAUGCUAAAAAUAAAAAGGGGUUGGUUUGAAUAUUAUAACAAGAAAAGAGAUUUGUGACUUCUCACUUCCAUUUUUGAGUUAAGAGGAGUAUUAUUGCUUGGUGAAUUGUUGGUGGCUCUUGAACAUCAUCCUCAAACAUCGGAAGGAUAGAAGGAAGAUUGUCUACAAAAAAAGAUGAAAAAUAGUUAAAAUAUUGUAAGCGAAACCUAGGCACUAUCACGUGGAGUGGUAGAGUAGAGAUGUUGACUAGUCCCAACUUCGUGUGAGUUACGGUCUAAGUUCAAAUUCCUAUGAUUUGGAUUGCCCAACGUUAAAGCUAAGGUUUGUGCAAUUCUAUUUGUCUGCCCCCACUACUUAGUCUUGUGAUGUAUAGUUUCCCUUUUGGAUUGAAGUGGGUUCUAGAGUAGACAUUGCACAUGUGUAAAUUGGGAUUCACGUAUAAUAAUCAAACUUAGAGAAACAUAUGUUGUCAACUAUCGAGAACAAAAGCCACACCACACACACAAACACAAACACUUUUUAUUCGAUUCUUGUCAUUGGAAUUUGAAAGAGUUAAGGUAUGUAUGAUGAAUCUAUUGUUUAUUAGAGGAGGUUCAUAUAUAAGCUUUAGAAGGUGCACAAAAAGAGAAGUUUUAGAAGAAGAGAGAGAAAGAAGAAGAAGAAGGUGGGAAAAUGAAAAAGUGGUAGGGAACAAGUUAUUAGAGAUGGUAUUCAUGCAAUUGCAAUUUAUGUCUCACAAAUUGAUAGACUCGAGUUAUUUGAGGGGACCACAUGUGAAUUUAUAGUACUUUAUAGUAAAGAAUAAAAUAUUCAUCUGGCCCUUGAUUUUGA